UACGGAGGGUGCGAAGCGUUGCUCGGAAUUAUUGGGCGUAAAGGGUAGGUAGGUGGUCUCAUUUGUCUGGGGUGAAAGCCUUGAGCUUAACUCAAGAAGUGCCCCAGAAACGGUGAGACUAGAGUCCUGGAGAGGGUCGUGGAAUUCCCGGUGUAGCGGUGAAAUGCGUAGAGAUCGGGAGGACACCAGAGGCGAAGGCGGCGACCUGGACAGGUACUGACACUCAACUACGAAAGCGUGGGGAGCAAACAGG
rnacentral:rRNA from 1 species